AUUACACUCCACAAGAGCAAACACUGGGCACAGGACUGAAAGCCAAGCCUACCUGAGUUCACUCUGAGCCACUGGAUCCUCCUUUCACGCCUCCUCCUCUCACCUUCACUCAUCUCUCCUUACAGAACAACAUUUAAGGAGAAAAUUUUCGGUUAAAACUUCGGUUAAAAUUUUCGGUUAAAAACUUCGGUUCCGGAAGUCUUGAGUCGACUCCUCAGCUGAUUCAGUGAGUCGAUUCACUUCACUUCGCUUCAGUUGACUGAGCUUUAUUCAGAGUCUCUGUGUCUCUGUCAAGAUUCAUUUCCUGGAAUUUUCUCCUCAGUCUGUCGAGACCGAAAAAGUCUGAAGGAAAAGGAAUCAGCUGAAGCUUACAGCAGUUGUGUGAGUGGAAUGAGGACGAUGGGAUCAGUUUCGUGGUGAAAGAACAAAUGAAGGCAGGAGUUUGUUCAGAUCCCGAAGCAGGAGAUGAGAAUGUGAUUUACAGGAACAUGGAACACAUCUCACACCCUUUCCAGGAAACCAGAUGUGCUUUGAACACCAACAUGCUUUCAGCAGCUCUGCUGUGGGAAACACCCUACUGGGUUCUAGCACCGGUUCUCUUUGGAUCCUUCCUCAGUUCCCUCUGUUUUAUCCUUUAUUCUCUUUAAACAGUUACAUGUUCAAUUUAAAAUCUCACAUCCAUACUGAGAUCACCUUCUACAGACUACUGGCUCUACAUUUAUGAUUUACAAUUAUUUCGACGGGCGGCAUGGUGGUGUAGUGGUUAGCGCUGUUGCCUCACAGCAAGAAGGUCCGGGUUCGAGCCCCGUGGUCGGUGAGGGCCUUUCUGUGUGGAGUUUGCAUGUUCUCCCCGUGUCCGGGUGGGUUUCCUCUGGGUUCUCCGGUUUCCCCCACAGUCCAUAGACAUGCAGGUUAGGUUAACUGGUGACUUUAAAUUGACCAUAGGUGUGAAUGGUUGUCUGUGUCUAUGUGUCAGCCAUGUGAUGACCUGGCGACUUGUCCAGGGUGUACCCCGCCUUUCGCCCGUAGUCAGCUGGGAUAGGCUCCAGCUUGCCUGCGACCCUGUAGAAGGAUAAAGCGGCUAGAGAUAAUGAGAUGAGAUGAGUUUGUUCAUUUCACAUAUUUCUGCGGAGCCAUUGAGUUUUGAACUGCUCUUUUGUCUCAAAUGACACAACAACUGAAUAACUUUUUUGCAUAUAAUCGGCAACCUUUCCUGAAGAUACUGAAUAGGAGGAUUAUCUGGAUUUGGUUGGAAAAUUUCCCUGCUUUUGUGCACAGAAUAAAGUCAAUUUAUUUGUAUCGACCUUUUCACAAUCGACAUUGCUGCAAAGCAGCUUGAGAGAAAAAUAGAUUUUAAACAUACAGUAUGAAGUAAUAAAUUUCUCCCUGAUGAACAAGCCUGAGAUGACGGUGGUGAGGGAAAAGGCACUGAGACAACAUCAGGAAGGAACCUGGAGAGGAACCAGAUUCAAAAGGGAACCCAUUCUCAUUUGGAUGAUAAGAUAGUAUGAUUAAAAAUAAAUUCCUUUCGUGCUUUCAAAUGUGGCCUGGUAUCUUUAAUACAGUACAUACCUGAGCUAACAGCCUCACCCUAUAUUUAAAAUAACUUUGGCAGUGCUUCAUCUUUAGAUUCAGUCUUGAAUCAGCCCCAGCAAGCAUUGUUAGGAACAUAAAAACAAAUGUGCAGAGGGUGAAUGGGUUGCAGUUUGUAAAAGAUUUUAUGCAGCACACAUUCACAGUAAGAGCAUCUUUGUUCUGUUGAUUUUCUCACAGAAAAUAGCAUUUUGAUAAGCACUGAAAAACCAAUUAAAGGCCCUCUCCUGGGAUCCAAACUAUUCAAAGAGAACCUGCUUGUUUUGAAUUUUGUUUCUCAAAACAGUAGUAUGGCUGCUGGAGUCGUUCCCCAAGAGCAGGUGGUAAUUAUUAUCCUGUAUCUUAUUUACCUAAAACAUCUGUAGUUCAGGGCACGCCAUCAUGCCUUUGUGCGGUGGCUGCAGCAGCUCUCCUGGUCACUGAUGGUGAGAAACUGGCCCUCUCUCACACCCUCAUCUUUCACACUUCUCAUCAGUUCUCAUCAAUUCCACUUUGGUAGCUGAUCUUGCUGAUGCUUGCUCAAAGCCUAUUUACUUAGCUGUCAUCGAGGUUAAAGGGCAUGACAUUUCUAACACACAAGUACAGUAGCUCAGGGUAAUGGGUUGGCAGAUGAAGUGGUUAAAUGGGCAGCCAAAAAGGGCACGUCCUUACCUCAUGUUUGCACGGUCGCUGUGUAUUUCAUGUUUAGUAAUGUGCUCACUCCUGGCACUGAUGUUGCUUUUCUCCAAUCUAGACCCACAGAAUGUGACUUGACACACUGGCAGAAGUGUGCCGAAGGCCCUGAUGCCUGUUGAGGGACUUUACACAAUGUCUAGCGUUCCCGGCUUCUGUGUUACCAUUCCUCAUGUAACAUUAUCACGGUGUUUCUCAUGUCACCUGGAGAGGGGUAAUUAAGAACAUCAAACCAGAGGUGGAAAGAGUACUAAAAUAUUAUACUCAAGUACAAGUACUGUUACUCUGAUGAAAUUUUACUUAAGUACAAGUAAAGUUACCAGACAAAAAAUCUACUCAAGUAAAAGUAAAAAGUAGAUCAUUUAAAAUGUACUUUGAGUAAAAGUAAAACGUUACUUUUAACAAUGGGUGUUUUCUGCCUCCAUUGUGUUGUGCAAAAAUGAAAAAGAAGAGGAAACAAGGAUAUAUGUACAUCUCAACCCAGAUGUUUUAUUUAAAGGAAGUGUAUCAAAUUGAAUGCUUAGGAUAAUGCUGCAUUAAAACUGAGACAAACAAAAAAGGUCAAUACACACAGUCAUGUCGUUUACAUCGCCCUGACCACACACAAAGCAUUGUACACGAAAUAUGAAAGUGAAAUGUCGCACCGAAAUCUUGUAGCUUGCCUGUGUGCACUGUGUGUUAUUGAACAAUUCAAUUCAAACAUUAUUUGUUUUGCUUAGUAUUCCUUUCUGGCCUGUUGGACGUAGAAUGGUAGGAGGACUGAUCACGUCAGGUUGGCGAGCUAACUUGCUUGCAUGAUUAGCCAACCGAAUAACAGACUAGUUACCAUUAUGUUACAGUACCAACAGGUUGCUACUUCAACAUUAGCAAUGCCAUCCACUAUUUUUGGAAUAUAACCAGCCUAUUGUCAGUUUUACUAUGGAAAGGAAACAUUAUGAUCAGGGGUGCAGAUACAUUUUUUGAACUGGGGGGGACAAAAAACUGGGGGGGACAAAGCUGCCAGCAAACCAACCCCGAUAUGCCUGUCAAACUUGUUGUGGGUAACCAUAGCAACCAAGCUCGAGCUCGCAACCUGUGCAGUCUGCGCAGCUCAACCAACCGAAUAUCAGUCUUUGUUUUGUUUUAUGUGAGUUGUUGCAACUAUGUAUGUACUGCUGUGCACCUCAAUAAACCGAAUGGUAAUUAGUCUUUUGAUUUUUCCGUGAGGUUUGCCUUAUGCAAAGAAAGACAGCAUAGACAUUUUUUCCUUCCUAUAAGUGGGGGGGACCGAACGAGGUGAAUUUAAAUCUGGGUGGGACGAAUCCCACCCGUCCCACCCUCUAUCUGCGCCCGUGAUUAUGAUGCCAAUGACAAUACUUACCUCAACAUGCUUGCGCAGAUUAGAUGUUGAAUUUUUGUAUGCCGCAAUGGUUGUCUUCUUGGGCACACAUAAUCUGCAUUGCAUAAUGAAACUGUCACCCCUUUUCUCUACGAAGCUGAAGUGAUCACGUAUGUAGGGCCAGGGGUGCACUUCAUUACUGGAAGAAAUUGCGUUUUCUGCAGGGUCGUCCACCACAGGUUCCUCGGUCUCCUCCAUGUCCGCAGGGGCACUUUAUCAACACCCGUGGCCCAGGGGCUAGGCCCCUCAUAGGCUACCUGUCAACCCUACCCUUACCGUUGGCCAGGAAAACACUCUUAUUUUAUUUGCAAUACGUGUCAAGCAUUUACAUUGUAAGCGCGUAAUUAGCCUAGAAGCCUACGAUAGGUUACGUUUGGCUCAGCGUAGCUGCGCAAGGCCCACGCUCACAUCGCUCAACACAUCCGACCACAGAGGGAGAGAAUAAUGCGUGCAUUAUCAUUACAGAGCCGGUUGUGAUUAUUACCACGGACAGGACAGUGAUACUGCGUAACUUUCACACAGGGGCAUGGCCAGAGAUAACCACACAAGCGCGCGUGUGCUAUAAUGUAGACCUAUGUGUUGUAAACAUAAAACACACACACCUACAGACAAGUCCUUUUAAAAAAUAAAAUACAUAAAAAUAGCUCGGCGGCAUGAAAACAAACAUUCACUGCAAGUCAAGGUACUUGGCUCGGCGGCCGCAUGAAACGUAAACACCAUGGACAGCGGCCAAACUCAUAACUCUACAGACCGAAAUACACGAAACCAAGUCCUACUAGGGUCUAUUUUACCAAUCUAUGUUCAAGCAUCAUGCAAGUCUUCCUUCUCCUUGAAUGAGACCGUGCAUUCAACUGCCUUUUUGACAUGACUGCAUCGAAAUACCACUUGCAACAAUAUUUCACGCACUCCAUCAAGAAAAAAGUUAAACAUGAUGAACACGGGCAUACUGUUUUGAGCAUACGAUUUUUUAAAAAGAAACUAGCUACAUCAAAGUCCUUCAAUAAACCCAUCCUUUAGCGCAAAUGAGCUUAACCUAGUUCAAAGCAUGACACUAGCAGUAGCUGCAUAAGGCAAAAUCGUGUGGGCCUUUCGUCAACGACAAGCCACGGCGGGGAAACAUUAAUAAUCAAGUGUCCUUACCUUAAAACGUUGUCUUGACCACAGAACUUCUCAAGUAUUUCACUUAAAUCCACACGGGUUAACAACACACCCAACACAGCUAGCGAGAAAUGUGGAUAUGCGCUAGCUUUGUAUUGCUAUUCCCCUCAGUAUGCUUACUCUGUCUGCUGCCCGAACUGUGACAAUUAUAGGCUACAAUCUUUUCAUCAAUUUCUUCAGUAGAUGCCAUUUUAGACAUUUUAUUAUCCCCAUCGAAAUAUGCUAUUAUACUAACAGGAUUAUAACUCAAAUCACACAACACGUAUUCAAAUCACAACUGAUUUAUUUUACUGUUGGACAGAUCAUAGCAUAUCUAGCCUAGCUACACAUAGCCUAGCUGCUGGUAGGCUGAUAACUGAUAAGUAGCUGAUAUUCUGAACAGAUUGGUGAUCCUUACCUUAAAAAAGUCUGUGACUUUAGGCAACAAUUCUAUCAUUACCUGCAUCUCUCUCUUUUUUUUCCUUUUAUGCGCCCUGCUAACACGUGAACGCUUCAUCUUUCAAAGCCUCUAAAUUUAUGUCUCUGUAGUCAGUAGUCUUUGGCGCGCUUUCGUGCGUGACGUUACAUUUUGUUAUAUUUUAUUCUGGUCCAGUUGUGGGUGUUCGUUUCGCGAACCACAUCCACCAUGUCUCUUACAGCAGGCUACUGUGCGCUCAUUUAUUUCUAACCUUAUUUCUAUCCGUACAUUAAUGUAGGCCCAUGAUUCCGACAGUUUAUUAUUUUAUUAAUAUUACAAGGCCCCUGAUUGGCUGUGGCCCAGGGGCUUGAGCCCCCCGAACCCCCCCCUUAAAGCGCCGGUGCAUGUCCGCCAUCGUCUGUGUGAGACUCGCGCGCGCGACAACUGUCCUUCCCGUGAUUCAUUUCCAGAACGCAUUUCCCCUUCUCCGUUUUAGCCUUUUUUAAAUUUUUUAUUUAUUUAUUUUUUUACUCAAUAACGGUUGUGAUGUAAAAUGUACCGAAGUACACUACUUAAAAGAAAACAUACUUAAGUAAAAGUAAAAGUACACUCUUUAAAAAUUACUUGAAAAAGUAUAAGUACACAAAAAAGCUACUCAAGUACAGUAACGCGAGUAAUGUAAUUCGUUACUUUCCACCUCUGCAUCAAACAACUAUUCUGCAUUACAGAUCUGAGCUUAAACUGUAAAUUUGCUACUACAUACCUGCCUUGUAUGUGCCAGGACCAACCAACCUGGAAAAAUGUCUAAGCAUGAUGCUUCACCUCGUGCCCCAUUCCAGUACCUGCAAGUUGAUUUCACUCAUAUGCCACCCAUAGGCAACUUAAAAUACAUGCUGUUCAUUGUUGACAGACUCUCAAAAUGGGUUGAAACUCUUCCUUGUUGUAAAAAAAUGCUAAAAAAAAAUGAUCAAGGCUCCGUUCUUGUGCUGACGCUCUUCUCCAUCUUCUGUAGCAUGAUGCUACACCAGGCCAUGGAAGAGCUUGGUGAGGAUGAUGGCAUCUACAAGACAGAGGUGCUUCACCAACUUGCAUCUCGCAAGGUGUAUCAGCCUCGCAUCUGCCCAACUGAACUAAACUCGGUCCAGCAGUUCACUUACCUAGGCUACACAAUCUCAUCGUAUGCCAAGAUUGACAAGGAGAUCGACAACAGGCUUGCCAAAGCAAACAGCGCCUUUGGCAGGCUCCAGAAAAGAAUCUGGGGUAACAAGGACCUAAAGAAGAACACCAAGGUCCUUGUGUACCACGCUGUGGUCCUGACCACUCUCUGUUACGGCUCUGAGGCCUGGGUCACCACCACCGCCACCUGCGCCUCCUUGAGCGCUUCCAUCAGCGCUGUCUUCGCUCCAUUCUUAACAUCCAUUGGCGUGACUACAUCAUGAAUGUUGAGGUCCUACAGAGGGCGGAGGCCACCCUUCUUGAGGCCAUGCUACUGAAGUCACAGGUGCAAUGGGCUGGACAUGUGUCCAGAAUGGAAGAUUAUUGAUUACCCAAGAUUGUCUUGCACGGGGAGCUGUCCUCUGGCUGUCGAAACCCAGGGGCCCCAGUCAAGACGUAUAAAGCUCUCCUGAAGGCUUCCCUAAAGAUCUGCAACAUCAACCCCAACUCCAAGACAUGUCUUGCUUCAGAUCGUGACAGAUGGUGAAAAACUGUUUACAGUGCUGUCAGUUCCUUUGAGGAUGAUUGGAGAGCAAACCUGGAGGACAAAAGGAGCAGAAGGAAAAAUAAACCAAUCACUGCUCCCAACCCUGAUUUCAUGCUGGCCUGCAACGUCUGUGGCUGAACGUGUCUGUCGAGGAUAGGUCUCAUCAGUCAUAAGAGAGCCUGUAGCCGACGUGGACAUUCCCCCUCAUAAAUAUUCAUUUGCGAAUCAAUGCCAAGAGAGAGAGAAGAUAUAUAUAUAAGAAGAAAACGUCAAACCAAGAAGCCUUUAUUGGUCACAUGUACACUCAAGCAUAGACUCAGCACACAGUGAAAUUUAACCUCUGCAUUUAACCCAUCUGAAGCAGUUAACACACACACACAUACAAAUGAGCAAUGAGCACACACACAUACCCACAGUAGUGAGCAACUAUGCUACAUCACCCGGGGAGCAGUUGUGGGUUAAGUGCAUGAAGGGCACUUCAGCACAACCUCAGCACUGUGGCUGCUCCAUGUUAACCUAACUGCAUGUCUUUGGACUGUGGGGGAAACCGAAGCACCCGGAAGAAACCCACACUGACAUGGGGAGAACACACAAACUCCACACAGAAAGGUGCCCGCUGGCUAUGAGGUUAGAACCUGCAACCUUUUUGUUGUAAGGCAACAGCAUUAACUACUUGACCAUCAUGCUGCCCAGGAGUAGUUAGUGGUUAGGUGUCUUGCUCAAGAAGCACUUCAGCCAUUCCUGCACGUCCAGGGACUCGAACCAGCAGCCUGUUGUCUAACCUUUCGACCACGGCUUCCCCAUGAAAUGAAUCUGCACUAUGCCAGUCUUUCAUACAAGACAGAACCCACUGAGAGAAACACAUCAGAUUUGGACAGAGUGGUAUACGCAGGAAUCAGACAUUUACCAGCCUGACACCUGAUUACAGAUCUGUACGAAUAUAACAAAAAAAAUAUUUUGACCUUUAUCAUUCUUAAUAGUGUAAACCCCAUGCUAAUUUAUUUAUCUUGGUUCUGAUCAAUCAGCAGUGUAAACCCUUAGGAAAAAAAAUAUGUCCAAUUCACACAUUUUUAAAAUACUGUAUUAUGUGAGUUAAAACAUUACUAAAAUAAAAUGUAAAGGGCAUUUCAUGUUAUGUCCUGAAGUUACAUGUGUGAACUCAGUGAACACGUGACAGCAUCUGAAUAAUUCCUUAUAUUCUUAAUCCUGCCCUUUUCUGAAGAAUGUUUUCUCCUCAGUUAUUUUUACGUUUGUCUUUUAUAGCUAAAUACAGUGAUACACACAGCACCAGUCAAAAGUUUGGACACACCUUCUAAUUAACUGUUUAUUCUUUAUUGUUAUUAAAAGUCACUUCAUGUCUUAAAGUAA